rnacentral:hammerhead_ribozyme from 1 species
GUACUGAUGAAGACUCCUAAACUAGGACGAAACAGCUGUCCAGUAC